CAACGCGUCAUAGGACCUGUCAUGUUCCUGAUUCACAUGAUUCUCUGUGGGGGAGAUGCAUAAAGUAUGUACAGGAUACAUAGCUGCAUUUUAUCAACUACAUAAAGUAGAUGCACUGUCAACUGAAUACAUUGCCAUCCUUUAAUUUGCACUUAAUGAUGUUAAUUAUUUUGUCCUUUUUUCACAAAACCUGAUUUACCCAGCCCUUAUCUAUGGUUAAAACAUGCACAUAUGUAUUUUCUUAGAUGGAGAACUAUAGUUGGACUGAUACCUAUCAGUCUCCAGCUGAAGGGAAUGCAUUGACCAAUGAGGAGAGCAGAGUGUAUGCAGAAUCGGACACUGAUGACCUUUCUGGGAAAGGUGAUUUCCAGGGCCCAGAGGCUGAAUCCCUGAACCACAAAGGAGGAGGAGAGCAACAACAACAGCACGUGCAGGCCCAGCAGAUCAACGGCCUGGCUCCACUAUCAGUCAGGCCACCUGACACGCAGCCUGUAGUGCCUCUUGUGGCAGAAGACCAGGACUGCAGUUACCACUACACUGACACCAGCCAGACUCAGCUUCAGCAGCAUUCCUCCCCUCAGCAGCCAACACUGAGCUGUCCUACAUCAAACAGGGAAGGGGCGGAGCAUUCUUCUGGGCUGGGCAUGACUGGGAUACAUUUUAAUUCUGGGAUGAUGGCAGGGGAUGUUCAGCAAUCUGGUCAGACGUAUGAUUAUGUAGGCAAGCUUGCAUGGCACCAGGGAGGGCACCGGUCCACCAUCACGCAGGAGGGCAAGGCCUUAGAGCCGGACCAAAUCCAACCAAAACAGAGCACCAAGUCAGGGUGGUUUAGUAGCUGGUUCAAACCCAAACCCAAAGAGGAACAAAGUGUUGCGUCUCUGGAUGACGACUCAGCAGAACCAGUUCCCACUAUGGAGGCUCCUCCCACCCUAUGUUCUUUCCCUCCCCCACCUACUAUCAACACCCUUGCAGCUAAUUGUCCCACACAGCCUACAUCUGCUGGGAUCAACCCCUUUUCUCGAAAAGCAGGUCCUCAGCUGGGAUAAACAAAAGGAUUGUCACUUAUGGGCAAUAUAUUUGAGGAUUUGUUAUGCCAUAAACAUGGAAUAACCCUGAAGCAAAAGAGAAGCACAACCACAUCAACAGAAGGAUAACAUGCUGGCCCUUUAAAUCAGCCUAAACUGGGACUGUGUCAGUGUAUUAACACUGAUCAGGCUCACAAUAUCCGCCUGACCACAACCCAGAUAUCUAUUUUUGGAAGUUCUUUAAUGGGGCUAGUACUUUGACAUCAUGUGUUGCGUUGCUUCACAUUGGCUCGUAGGCUGCAUGUGCAGGCAGAGGGAGUUAGUCCAGGCUUUUAAGGGCUUGGCUCAGUGUUUUCUGAGGGAACUAAACAGCUGAGUUCUGGUUCCUCUGAGAUGAUGGGCGGAAAAUUGCCGGGUUGGAAUGCUGUAAGUUAGCAGAAGCUGUGAAUGUGGUCAGCUUAAUCUCACAAAAAAGUUUGGAGCAAGUCUAAUUUCUCUUUAGUGAGACUUUCUAGCUAUACAACCGUGAUUCAUUUUCAAACAGACCUAUCUUUGUCUAGUAUUUUGAUUUGAGAUGUACAUUUUAAAGUUAAUUUUAAAUACCAAGGUCCAAGACAAUUUAUGUCUUUCAGGAGCUCUUACUCUUAUGAGAUGUUCUGGCUCACAAAAACCAGAGCUUGUGCAAAGCUACUGGGGCUGCCAGUGAAGUUGAUGGGGGCCAGGACAUGUUGGUUGGACACUGAGACACUAUUCUCAUCUAAUAGGAGAGAAAGCUGAUAUGACAAUUUUUAAAACUCAUAGACAAAUCAUUACAAAUUCUGUACUAGCAUUUGUGACAAAACCAUUAAAAAAGAUUUAAAAACUGUUAAUUCACAUACCGUUUGCAAUUUUAAGCUAUACAAGCAAAUCAUUCUUAUGCUGGAGUAUGCCCACACCAUUCCAAGUGAAAAAAGCUGGUGAGGUUUUACAUUUAAAAUGUUUGGUAAGUAUUAAUGUAUUAUAUAUUAAUGCAUUAACACAGAACUGAACCACAAUAUCAGAAGUGUCCCAACCCCCAUCUAUUCUUGGAUGUCCUUUCAAUGGACCAGUAUUUUGAUAUGUUGGGUUGGUGCCCAUUAUUAGGCUAACCAGGCAGGCAGCAGGAGUGGGGCCAGUCGUUUAGGGGCUUGGCUCAGUGUCCUGAGGGAACAGCUGAUGUCUGGUUCCUCGAAGAUAGAAAGAAAAUUUCCUGGGUUGGACACUGCAAUGUUGCAAAAGUAGCAAGGUUGUUCUACUAAAUAAUUCAUGUAAUCACAAAAAAAGAUUCAAGAACAAUCCAGUCCCAAGUUCUUUUGGAGCUAGUCUCAUGUCCCAUUGGUAAAAUGUUAUAACCACAAACGACGACUCCUGUUCUAACCCAAUUUCAGUUUUCAGGUGGAAAUUGAAGAUUGGUAGAGGCCUACUACUCUGUAUUUGUCAAACAUUGUUUGAAUUCACAGCAGAUUUUAAGAGCAAAUAAAAAUAGCAUUCUGGUCUUGGCACAUUCUUGUCUUGGCACAUUCUGGUCUUGGCACAUCCAGUCGACCACCCCUCCCAGAUAAUGUGGGUAGGUUAGCCUAAAUUAUUAGAUUAAUGUGGAUACAUUUUUAAAUUGUUGAAUAGUAAUUCAGUGUUGUUCAACAUUAAAGCAGUAGUUAUUUCACCAAACCUAGACACACAGUAGUUUUAGUAAAGAACAUGAAGUUUAUUAUCAUGAAUGAAAACCACCCUGUGAAGUUAAAAAAUCUAUUUAAUCUGUAGCCCGAUAAACUGCAUACUUUCCCUAAUUGUAGUGGAGACACAACAUUACAUUAUUUCAAAUUUACCAGUGAUUUUAUCUUUACUGAGAGAUUUGAGCAACAGAAAUUAGGUGUAACCGCACUGUAAAACCCAUGAAUCACAGUAUUAAUCCCCCUAUAAAACUCAAAAGAUUUGUUCAGUGUAGUUAAUGGCUAGCUUGCAAAGUACAAUGUAAAGAAUAAUAGCUACUAUCUGAUGGCACUAACACUAACAUUGUAAAAAACAAGUUGAAAAUAGAGACUUUACAGGACUUUCUUUCAGCAGGUUUUGCAAGGGUGGAUUUAUUGCCUCUUACUUGAUGUCAGACAUGAUGUUUGUAUACUGUAGUCUCUGAUUGUUUCGUAAUUGUCUGAUAAAUCUGUCCUCCUCGUCUCCUUCCCUGAAUCUGCAGUGAUUAGAAGUAUAUGCUAAUGUAUUCUUUUGACAAAUUUGUGCAUUUGUUUGAAAAGUAAAUUUUGAUGUACAUUUUCAGAGAAAUAUACAGAUUUCCUCCCUGAGAAAAUAAUUCUCUAAUACAUAUUAUCAUUCUUGCAAUUUAACAACAGGCUCCUUAGCUUGAAUUCCACUACCAAGACUCCAUGUCACAUUCCAAAGAUGGAGAUUGGUGUAUUACUUAAGGAGACUGGUGCAUAAGAGACAGAGCCUACUACUGAGGCCAAACAGCCAGGAAUACAUUGUUCCUCAAAGUGGUGACUAUAACUGUGAGAAAACUGAAUAGAAAAGCAAUUCACAAACUCUAAUAGUUGUAUUCUGUUUACAUAACUCCAGACUCUCCUGUGGAAUAGUCAGUGGAACAGUUUUAUUGGCUGAUGGUCUUGUGUGUUAUUGCCUGUCCCCAGGUUCCAUUAACAGGAAACGAGGAAGGGAUAUAUACAAUGCUUUUUCAUUUUCGAUUUUUCCAAAAUGCUGCCUUAGACUGUAUAUUGUUUUACAUUGUAAUUGUAAGAACAUUCAUUCAGGACAUUAUUUAUAAAGGUUUAUUUAAUCAGACGUUUUAUAGAUAGGUUUACAAUAGUUUUUAAAGAAACUA
ensembl:lncRNA